GCCUAACACAUGCAAGUCGAGGGGUAGCAUGAAAGUAGCAAUACUUUUGAUGACGACCGGCGCACGGGUGAGUAACGCGUAUGCAACCUACCUACUACAGGGGAAUAGCCCGAAGAAAUUCGGAUUAAUGCCGCAUAAUACAGGGGCACCGCAUGGUGAUAUUUGUUAAAGAUUAAUUGGUAGUAGAUGGGCAUGCGUUCCAUUAGCCAGUUGGUGAGGUAACGGCUCACCAAAGCAACGAUGGAUAGGGGAACUGAGAGGUUUAUCCCCCACACUGGUACUGAGACACGGACCAGACUCCUACGGGAGGCAGCAGUGAGGAAUAUUGGUCAAUGGGCGAGAGCCUGAACCAGCCAAGUCGCGUGAAGGAUGACUGCCCUAUGGGUUGUAAACUUCUUUUGUACUGGGGUAAAAAAGAGGACGUGUCCUUUCUUGCAAGUACAGUACGAAUAAGCAUCGGCUAACUCCGUGCCAGCAGCCGCGGUAAUACGGAGGAUGCGAGCGUUAUCCGGAUUUAUUGGGUUUAAAGGGUGCGUAGGCGGGGAUUUAAGUCAGCGGUGAAAGUUUGAGGCUCAACCUUAAAAUUGCCGUUGAAACUGGUUUCUUGAGUGUAUUUGAAGUAGGCGGAAUUCGUUGUGUAGCGGUGAAAUGCAUAGAUAUAACGAAGACUCCAAUUGCGCAGGCAGCUUACUA
rnacentral:rRNA from 1 species